GGGAUGGAGCAGCCUGGUAGCUCGUCGGGCUCAUAACCCGAAGGUCGUCGGUUCAAAUCCGGCUCCCGCAACCA
rnacentral:tRNA from 3 species